AUGCUAAUCGACCUGAAGCUGUUUAUGAGUAUGCGAAUAUACGUAAAUAGUACUUAUGCCUCCCCGGCAUAGACAGGAAAGA
rfam:Bacteroides xylanisolvens XB1A draft genome.